UACGUAGGGGGGCGAGCGUUGUCCGGAUUUAUUGGGCGUAAAGAGCUCGUAGGCGGCUUAGCAAGUCGGGUGUGAAAACUCCAGGCUCAACCUGGAGACGCCACUCGAGACUGCUAUGGCUAGAGUCCGGUAGGGGACCACGGAAUUCCUGGUGUAGCGGUGAAAUGCGCAGAUAUCAGGAGGAACACCGAUGGCGAAGGCAGGUCUCUGGGCAUUAACUGACGCUGAGGAGCGAAAGCAUGGGGAGCGAACAGG
rnacentral:rRNA from 1 species